rnacentral:rRNA from 1 species
AACGAACGUUGGCGGCAUGCCUAACACAUGCAAGUCGAACGAUCCCUUCGGGGAUAGUGGCGCACGGGUGCGUAACGCGUGGGAACCUGCCCUUAGGUUCGGAAUAACUCAGAGAAAUUUGAGCUAAUACCGGAUAAUGUCUUCGGACCAAAGAUUUAUCGCCUUUGGAUGGGCCCGCGUUGGAUUAGCUAGUUGGUGGGGUAAAGGCCUACCAAGGCGACGAUCCAUAGCUGGUCUGAGAGGAUGAUCAGCCACACUGGGACUGAGACACGGCCCAGACUCCUACGGGAGGCAGCAGUGGGGAAUAUUGGACAAUGGGCGAAAGCCUGAUCCAGCAAUGCCGCGUGAGUGAUGAAGGCCUUAGGGUUGUAAAGCUCUUUUACCCGGGAUGAUAAUGACAGUACCGGGAGAAUAAGCCCCGGCUAACUCCGUG